UACGAAGGGAGCUAGCGUUGUUCGGAAUCACUGGGCGUAAAGGGCGCGUAGGCGGCCCUCCUUGUCGCGUGUGAAAGCCCCGGGCUCAACCUGGGAACGGCGCGCGAGACGGGGGGGCUGGAGUUCGGGAGAGGAGCGUGGAAUUCCCAGUGUAGAGGUGAAAUUCGUAGAUAUUGGGAAGAACACCGGUGGCGAAGGCGGCGCUCUGGACCGAGACUGACGCUGAGGCGCGAAAGCGUGGGGAGCAAACAGG
rnacentral:rRNA from 1 species